GAUGAAGAACGCAGCGAAAUGCGAUAAGUAAUGCGAAUUGCAGAAUUCCGUGAGUCAUCGAAUCUUUGAACGCACAUUGCGCCCGCCGGCACUCCGGCGGGCAUGCCUGUCCGAGCGUCAUUUCAACCCUCAGGCCCGAACCCCCCCGGGGGGGGCGGGCCUGGUGUUGGGGCUCGGGGUCCGCGAGGCCCCCGUCCCCUAAAUCCAGUGGCGGUCGCGCCGCACCCUCCCCUGCGUAGUAGCACACCUCGCACCGGAGAGCAGCGCGUCCACGCCGUGAAACCCCCAACUUACCAAGGUUGACCUCGGAUCAGGUAGGAAUACCCGCUGAACUUAAGCAUAUCAAUAAGCGGAGGA
rnacentral:misc_RNA from 1 species